UUGCCCUAGUAACGGCGAGUGAAGCGGCAACAGCUCAAAUUUGAAAUCUGGCUCUCUUUGGGGGUCCGAGUUGUAAUUUGCAGAGGAUGCUUUGGCAUUGGCGGCGGUCUAAGUUCCUUGGAACAGGACAUCACAGAGGGUGAGAAUCCCGUACGUGGUCGCCUGCCUUUGCCGUGUAAAGCUCCUUCGACGAGUCGAGUUGUUUGGGAAUGCAGCUCUAAAUGGGAGGUAAAUUUCUUCUAAAGCUAAAUACCGGCCAGAGACCGAUAGCGCACAAGUAGAGUGAUCGAAAGAUGAAAAGUACUUUGGAAAGAGAGUCAAAAAGCACGUGAAAUUGUUGAAAGGGAAGCGCUUGCAGCCAGACUUGCCCGCAGUUGCUCACCUAGGCUUUGGCCUGGGGCACUCUUCUGCGGGCAGGCCAGCAUCAGUUUGGGCGGUUGGAUAAAGGCCUCUGUCACGUAUCUUCCUUCGGGAUGACCUUAUAGGGGAGGCGUAAUGCAACCAGCCCGGACUGAGGUCCGCGCAUCUGCUAGGAUGCUGGCGUAAUGGCUGUAAGCGGCCCGUCUUGAAACACGGACCAAGGAGUCUAACAUCUAUGCGAGUGUUUGGGUGUCAAGCCCGGGCGCGCAAUGAAAGUGAACGGAGGUGGGAACCCUUUGGGUGCACCAUCGACCGAUCCUGAUGUCUUCGGAUGGAUUUGAGUAAGAGCAUAGCUGUUGGGACCCGAAAGAUGGUGAACUAUGCUUGAAUAGGGUGAAGCCAGAGGAAACUCUGGUGGAGGCUCGCAGCGGUUCUGACGUGCAAAUCGAUCGUCAAAUUUGGGCAUAGGGGCGAAAGACUAAUCG
rnacentral:rRNA from 1 species